rnacentral:ncRNA from 1 species
CAAUCGGACUAGUGAUAGUUUGAUGAAUCAAGAGAAGUCAGCAGAAGCCAUAGUAGCUCCCCAUUUGGAGCGAAGGGC